CCUACGGGGGGCUGCAGUGGGGAAUAUUGGACAAUGGGAGCAACCCUGAUCCAGCCAUGCCGCGUGUGUGAAGAAGGCCCUCGGGUUGUAAAGCACUUUCAGUGAGGAAGAACGCCUGGUGGUUAAUACCCAUCAGGAAAGACAUCACUCACAGAAGAAGCACCGGCUAACUCCGUGCCAGCAGCCGCGGUAAUACGGAGGGUGCGAGCGUUAAUCGGAAUUACUGGGCGUAAAGCGCGCGUAGGUGGCUUGAUAAGCCGGUUGUGAAAGCCCCGGGCUCAACCUGGGAACGGCAUCCGGAACUGUCAAGCUAGAGUGCAGGAGAGGAAGGUAGAAUUCCCGGUGUAGCGGUGAAAUGCGUAGAGAUCGGGAGGAAUACCAGUGGCGAAGGCGGCCUUCUGGACUGACACUGACACUGAGGUGCGAAAGCGUGGGUAGCAAACAGGAUUAGAUACCCCGGUAGUC
rnacentral:rRNA from 1 species